rnacentral:rRNA from 1 species
UACGAAGGGGGCUAGCGUUGCUCGGAAUCACUGGGCGUAAAGGGUGCGUAGGCGGGUCUUUAAGUCAGGGGUGAAAUCCUGGAGCUCAACUCCAGAACUGCCUUUGAUACUGAAGAUCUUGAGUUCGGGAGAGGUGAGUGGAACUGCGAGUGUAGAGGUGAAAGUCGUAGAUAUUCGCAAGAACACCAGUGGCGAAGGCGGCUCACUGGCCCGAUACUGACGCUGAGGAGCGAAAGCGUGGGGAGCGAACAGG